AGUUAGCGGCGGACGGGUGAGUAACACGUGGGCAACCUGCCUGUAAGACUGGGAUAACUUCGGGAAACCGGAGCUAAUACCGGAUAAUAUAUAGUACCUCCUGGUACUAUAUUGAAAGAUGGUUUCGGCUAUCACUUACAGAUGGGCCCGCGGCGCAUUAGCUAGUUGGUGAGGUAACGGCUCACCAAGGCAACGAUGCGUAGCCGACCUGAGAGGGUGAUCGGCCACACUGGGACUGAGACACGGCCCAGACUCCUACGGGAGGCAGCAGUAGGGAAUCUUCCACAAUGGACGAAAGUCUGAUGGAGCAACGCCGCGUGAGCGAUGAAGGCCUUCGGGUCGUAAAGCUCUGUUGUUAGGGAAGAACAAGUGCGAGAGUAACUGCUCGCACCUUGACGGUACCUAACCAGAAAGCCACGGCUAACUACGUGCCAGCAGCCGCGGUAAUACGUAGGUGGCAAGCGUUGUCCGGAAUUAUUGGGCGUAAAGCGCGCGCAGGCGGUUUCUUAAGUCUGAUGUGAAAGCCCACGGCUCAACCGUGGAGGGUCAUUGGAAACUGGGAGACUUGAGUGCAGAAGAGGAGAGUGGAAUUCCACGUGUAGCGGUGAAAUGCGUAGAGAUGUGGAGGAACACCAGUGGCGAAGGCGACUCUCUGGUCUGUAACUGACGCUGAGGCGCGAAAGCGUGGGGAGCAAACAGGAUUAGAUACCCUGGUAGUCCACGCCGUAAACGAUGAGUGCUAAGUGUUAGAGGGUUUCCGCCCUUUAGUGCUGCAGCUAACGCAUUAAGCACUCCGCCUGGGGGAGUACGGUCGCAGACUGAAACUCAAGGAAUUGACGGGGGCCCGCACAGCGGUGGAGCAUUGUGGUUUAAUUCGAAGCACCGC
rnacentral:rRNA from 2 species